GAUGAACGCUGGCGGCGUGCCUAAUACAUGCAAGUCGAGCGAACAGACGAGGAGUUUGCUCCUCUGACGUUAGCGGCGGACGGGUGAGUAACACGUGGAUAACCUACCUAUAAGACUGGGAUAACUUCGGGAAACCGGAGCUAAUACCGGAUAAUAUAUUGAACCGCAUGGUUCAAUAGUGAAAGACGGUUUUGCUGUCACUUAUAGAUGGAUACGCGCCGCAUUAGCUAGUUGGUAAGGUAACGGCUUACCAAGGCAACGAUGCGUAGCCGACCUGAGAGGGGGAUCGGCCACACGGGAACUGAGACACGGUCCAGACUCCUACGGGGGGCAGCAGUAGGGAAUCUUCCGCAAUGGGCGAAAGCCUGACGGAGCAACGCCGCGUGAGUGAUGAAGGUCUUCGGAUCGUAAAACUCUGUUAUUAGGGAAGAACAAAUGUGUAAGUAACUAUGCACGUCUUGACGGUACCUAAUCAGAAAGCCACGGCUAACUACGUG
rnacentral:rRNA from 1 species